rnacentral:rRNA from 1 species
UACAUGGGGUGCAAACGUUGCUCGGAAUUAUUGGGCGUAAAGCGCACGUAGGCGGUCGUUUAAGUCGGAUGUGAAAGCCCUCGGCUUAACCGGGGAAGUGCAUCCGAAACUGAAUGGCUUGAGUACAGAAGAGGGUCGCGGAAUUCCCGGUGUAGAGGUGAAAUUCGUAGAUAUCGGGAGGAACACCGGCGGCGAAGGCGGCGACCUGGGCUGAUACUGACGCUGAGGUGCGAAAGCGUGGGGAGCAAACAGG